UGCAUCAUGCCUGCCUGAACACUGCCAUGUUCCUGAUGAUAAUGGACUGAACCUACAUACAGGCAUCAGCUCCAAAAGAUGACCACCAAACUCUACCCCAUACAGAAUUGUAUCCCCUGUGAGUAACUCAAGUUAUGAGGAGAAACUGGUCAGAAUACAACGGCAGCAUUGGUUUGGGUACUGACAAAGAAGACUAAUCUGCAGGGGUCUAUACAUCACCAUCUGCCACUUGGAAUUUCCAUGACCCAUGAGACUGAACCCCGAGGGAAAGAACUCUGUGAGGCCAAAGUGAAGAAUCUUAUCAACAGGAAAUGGGAUAGCUGAAAGGAAAAGAAACCUUGUGACGGGAGCAUCUUGUCCUCUGAGUGGAUCCACUCAGCAGCUGACUCAGAUACAGACACCCAUAGCCAAACAGUGGAUGGAAUCUGGGGAUUCUUAUGGAAGAAUAGGAGGAAGGAUUAUGAGCCCUGAAGGGGAUAUGAACUCCACCAGAAGACUAACCUGGACCCUUGUGGUGGUUUGGUGAGCAUGGGGAGGUGAGAGGGGACAGGGGAUUUUUGGAGGGGAAACUAGGAAAGGGGAUAACAUUUGAAAUGUAAAUAAAUAAAAUAUCUAAUAAAAAGGAAAAAAAA
rnacentral:lncRNA from 1 species